UGCGGGUUUUUGCAUUGGUUGCAUGUUGGGCUCAUGUCUCAGUUUUGAUAGGUUCGAUUCCUAUACCCGCUU
rnacentral:tRNA from 1 species